AGGAAUAUUGGUCAAUGGACGAGAGUCUGAACCAGCCAAGUAGCGUGAAGGAUGAAGGUUCUAUGGAUUGUAAACUUCUUUUAUACGGGAAUAAACGGAUCCACGUGUGGAUUUUUGCAUGUACCGUAUGAAUAAGGAUCGGCUAACUCCGUGCCAGCAGCCGCGGUAAUACGGAGGAUCCGAGCGUUAUCCGGAUUUAUUGGGUUUAAAGGGAGCGUAGAUGGGUUGUUAAGUCAGUUGUGAAAGUUUGCGGCUCAACCGUAAAAUUGCAAUUGAUACUGGCAGUCUUGAGUACAGUUGAGGUAGGCGGAAUUCGUGGUGUAGCGGUGAAAUGCUUAGAUAUCACGAAGAACUCCGAUUGCGAAGGCAGCUUACUAACCUGUAACUGACAUUGAUGCUCGAAAGUGUGGGUAUCAAACAGGAUUAGAUACCCUGGUAGUCCACACGGUAAACGAUGAAUACUCGCUGUAGGCGAUAUACAGUCUGCGGCCAAGCGAAAGCAUUAAGUAUUCCACCUGGGGAGUACGCCGGCAACGGUGAAACUCAAAGGAAUUGACGGGGGCCCGCACAAGCGGAGGAACAUGUGGUUUAAUUCGAUGAUACGCGAGGAACCUUACCCGGGCUUAAAUUGCAGCGGAAUGUAGUGGAAACAUUACAGCCUUCGGGCCGCUGUGAAGGUGCUGCAUGGUUGUCGUCAGCUCGUGCCGUGAGGUGUCGGCUUAAGUGCCAUAACGAGCGCAACCCUUAUCUAUAGUUACUAUCAGGUCAUGCUGAGGACUCUAUGGAGACUGCCGUCGUAAGAUGUGAGGAAGGUGGGGAUGACGUCAAAUCAGCACGGCCCUUACGUCCGGGGCUACACACGUGUUACAAUGGGGGGUACAGAAGGCAGCUACCUGGCGACAGGAUGCUAAUCCCUAAAACCUCUCUCAGUUCGGAUUGGAGUCUGCAACCCGACUCCAUGAAGCUGGAUUCGCUAGUAAUCGCGCAUCAGCCACGGCGCGGUGAAUACGUUCCCG
rnacentral:rRNA from 1 species